rnacentral:rRNA from 1 species
UACAGAGGUCUCAAGCGUUGUUCGGAUUCAUUGGGCGUAAAGGGUGCGUAGGCGGCGCGGUAAGUCGGGUGUGAAAUCUCGGGGCUUAACUCCGAAACUGCAUUCGAUACUGCCGUGCUUGAGGACUGGAGAGGAGACUGGAAUUUACGGUGUAGCGGUGAAAUGCGUAGAGAUCAUGAGGAAGACCAGUGGCGAAGGCGGGUCUCUGGACAGUUCCUGACGCUGAGGCACGAAGGCCAGGGGAGCAAACGGG